rnacentral:rRNA from 1 species
CAAGAUGGGCAUGCGGAACAUUAGCUAGUUGGUAAGGUAACGGCUUACCAAGGCUACGAUGUUUAGGGGAUCUGAGAGGAUGACCCCCCACACUGGUACUGAGACACGGACCAGACUCCUACGGGAGGCAGCAGUAAGGAAUAUUGGUCAAUGGGCGCAAGCCUGAACCAGCCAUGCCGCGUGCAGGAAGACGGCCCUAUGGGUUGUAAACUGCUUUUAUACUGGAAUAAACCUUUGGUCGUGACCGAAGCUGAAUGUACAGUAAGAAUAAGGAUCGGCUAACUCCGUGCCAGCAGCCGCGGUAAUACGGAGGAUCCAAGCGUUAUCCGGAUUUAUUGGGUUUAAAGGGUGCGUAGGUGGUUCUUUAAGUCAGGGGUGAAAGACGGCAGCUUAACUGUCGCAGUGCCUUUGAUACUGAAGAACUUGAAUCCACUAGAGGUGGGCGGAAUGUGACAAGUAGCGGUGAAAUGCAUAGAUAUGUCACAGAACACCAAUUGCGAAGGCAGCUUACUAUGGUGGUAUUGACACUGAGGCACGAAAGCGUGGGGAUCAAACAGGAUUAGAUACCCUGGUAGUCCACGCCCUAAACGAUGAAUACUCGAUGUUGGCGAUAUACGGUCAGCGUCUAAGCGAAAGCGUUAAGUAUUCCACCUGGGGAGUACGCCCGCAAGGGUGAAACUCAAAGGAAUUGACGGGGGCCCGCACAAGCGGAGGAGCAUGUGGUUUAAUUCGAUGAUACGCGAGGAACCUUACCCGGGCUUGAAAGUUAGUGAAUAAAGCAGAGACGCUUUAGUCCUUCGGGACACGAAACUAGGUGCUGCAUGGCUGUCGUCAGCUCGUGCCGUGAGGUGUUGGGUUAAGUCCCGCAACGAGCGCAACCCCUAUGUUUAGUUGCCAGCACGUCAAGGUGGGGACUCUAAACAGACUGCC